ensembl:lncRNA
CAUCUGUUGACAGCUCUUGGCAGUUUGAACUACAUAUAAUAUAUGGGAGAGAGUGUGGUACCAUGAUUGCAGACUGCUAUUUCUAUUUAAUGCAUCAAGAAGCUGCGGGACAGAGAGGUUAAAUGGCUUAUCCAAGUUGCAAGAGAGACUCAGUGAUAGAACUGGAAAUAGGAGCCAAAUGUCUUGUUUCUCAUAUCGCUGUUCCAAGUCAUCAAGUUUAAGAUCUAAAAUCAGACAAAACUCAGGAGGUUGGCUGCUGAGGAAAUUGGUAAGUUGAGUUGAGAGAUUCUUAUGCUUAC